GACGAACGCUGGCGGCGUGCUUAACACAUGCAAGUCGAACGGGUCUGCCCUGUUUUUUGCGGGGUGGGUCAGUGGCGAACGGGUGAGUAACCCGUGAGUAACCUGCCCCUCACUUCUGGAUAACCGCUUGAAAGGGUGGCUAAUCCGGGGUGUUCUGGCUGUGCCGCAUGGUGUGGCUGGGAAAGAUUCCCUUUUGUGGUGUUUUGGUGGGGGAUGGGCUCGCGGCCUAUCAGCUUGUUGGUGGGGUGAUGGCCUGCCAAGGCUUUGACGGGUGGCCGGGCUGAGAGGGUGAGAGGCCACAGUGGGACUGAGAUAGGGCGGAGACUGGGGGGGGAGGCAGAAGUGGGGAAGAGUGCAGAAUGGGCGGAAGCCGGAGGGAGAAACGCCGCGUGGGGGAUGAAGGCUUUCGGGUGGUAAAAGGCGUUCGCCUGUGUGGAAGGGUGGGUGAGGGUAAUGGGUAAAGAAGCACCGGCUAACUACGUG
rnacentral:rRNA from 1 species